ensembl:snRNA U6 U6 spliceosomal RNA
AUGCUCACUCUGGCAGCACAUGUCACUAUACAAAGCAAAUUAGCAUGGCCCCUGCACAAAGAUGACUGGCUAACUCGUGAAGCAUAAAAAAGAAUU